UAUGUUGGUCAUAACUAUUAGAUUCUAAAAGUUGUAUAUUAAUGAUAAGAAUUCAAUUAACCAUACGUGCUAUAAUUAUUUGUGCUAUGAAUAGUAGCUGAUGGUGAUAUUUGUCCUUGGACAUUAAAAAUAUCAUCAAGGGCAAUAUGAAUAUGUCUUAACAUAUGGGAUCAAUUGUAUAGUAUCAAAUUCAAAAAAUUACCAUUUGAAAAAUUUGAACCUGGCUAAGAUAAACAUCAGUGAACAAUAUAUUAUAAGGAAAACUCUGUACAAGAUACUAGAAAUGCUAAAAGAUGACCAGAAAGCUUUUACACAAGUCAGGCUAUUAGACAACAAUCCCUUGUAAUACAGAGAAAGACUUGGAACACUCUAUAAUGGAAUGGCUUAGAUUUGCAAACAUCCGUAAACAAAGAAAAAAAUCUUAAAAGGUAAAAAAGUAACAUAAUGUAUUUAUGUCUGUUAAAUCAGCACCCCCAUAAAAAACCGGAAUAACACACAUGCAGAAAUUAAGUGCUCUUUAUGCGUUAAUUAUGUGCUCUAUUCAUGAUUUUUGUGCUCGAGCGGUUUUGUGGGAAAUUGCAAUUGAAACUGGGGGUGCUGGCUUAACGUAAGCUAGCACCCCCACUCAUUAAAAUUACAUAUAAAAUAAAAAACUCAAUAUGCUAGA